rnacentral:lncRNA from 1 species
UUUUUUCAAGCUUUCAUUAACAAGCUGCUUACAAUGCAGGGAAAGUUAUCCCUGCGAUGAUCAAAACUCGGUUUGGAGUAGCAACAACCAGAGUAUCUUGCUUUUAAUCUUCGCAUUUGGUGUGUUUUUGUCUUGACCAUGGGUCUUGUCUGGUUUGUUUUGGUUUUGGUUUUGGUUUAUUUGUUUUUUUUUAAUUGAGUUUGUUUUAGUUUUUCAGCAUCUCAUUUACGGUUUUUGUCAGAAGUUUGUUUUCUCAUGUUUUUUUCAUCCCCAAACUUAGUCUUCUUAUUAAAUAUGUGUAGAUCUGAAAUAUUAGUAUAAAGUCCUGUAAACAAGGUACAUCUUACAACACUUUAAGAACAAACCAUUGUCCUUGAGUUACUUGACAGAACUAGAGCAGAUCAGCCAGAGGGAGAUCAGCAAGGCCAUCUGCAGACCCCUCCAUUGUUCAAGGUGGCUGAGGUGUCACAAAGUGUGUCUCCUUUGUCUCCCUGUGAGCCUGACUACAUACACAUACACAUCACCGUCUGUCAGCUUUGUCAGUAGGUGGCAAAUAAGAAUGCUCUCAUUCCCCAGCUCCAGGAGUGGAUGCAAAACUAGGCAAACAGUUGAGCACGGUUUGGUGAUUUGCACCAAAGUGGAUUGUAGAAUUUGCAUCUAUCUGGCUUUCGCCCUCAAACACUUGAAAAUUUUAGCAGUCCAUUGACUUCAAUUGUUUGGGACCAGAACUGUUUUUAUAAGACGUUAGAAUAUUUGUGAAUACAUAAUGAGGUAUCUUGGGGGAGAGGAUUCAAGUCUAAACAUAAAUCUCAUUUAUGUUUUAUAGAGACCCUGUACACAGGAAAAUAAUGUCUGCAAUAUUGAUUGUAAGCCAUCCCAAGAGGUCAGGCAUGGGAUUUACCACUGGUAUCAUAGCACUGUACAAGAGGUUUUAGAUUCUGGAGCAGAUUAGCUUUGAGAUUCUUGAAGUGAGAAGGUUUUACCUCUGUUUCCAUCUUUGUAUUUAUCUAUACACCAUGCUCCUUGCAUCCCUUUCUCUGACUGUUGGCAGGUCUGUGAUCCCAUCCUGUGUUUAAAGUCUGAAUAUACGAAAUUGAAUCACCUUGUGUGCAGCACUGCGACUUUGUUCUAGUUACCCUUGGUGAAUUCUGGCAAAGAGUUCCAACUCUUGUGUAGAGCCGUAUCCUCAAGGGUCUCUGGGCAACCUUGGGGAGUGUCUCUGCUCCUGCCUCGCUUUAAAGUUACAAGCUCGGUUGUGACACUCACGCAAUCCACAUGCCUGGGAAACCGAUUAAAUUGCAAAGGUGACUUCUGGCUGAUUGUACCAGCACAGGUUUGACCAACACACUGAUGACCAAACAAAACUUGUAGAGACUGGUCUGGGGUGGAGCUGGGGGGCUAGGGGGUGUGGCACAUAGGGGGGUAGCGUCACAUAGUCAGAGCAUGCAGAUCCUAGUCAAGUUUCUUGCCCCAUCCAUGGAGCAGUGACAGGCCCAGUGUAGAUAAUUUUAUUAAGAAACUGUCUCGCAUCUGAUGGGGCUCAAUGUUGGUCAGUCUGGUAAGGGGCCAUCUUCCACUUGAUGCCGUGCAAGUCCAUCCACAACAUGUUCCUUGUCUGAAGUUGGAUUGCAAAUAGAAACAUCUUUCUUAUGUGUUUUCUAAAGAUCUAUUUAUUUAUUUUAUGUAUGAGCACACUGUAGCUGUACAGAUGGUUGUGAGCCUUCAUGUGCUUGUUGGAAAUUGAAUUUAGGACCUCUGCUUGCUCCGGUCUGCCUCACUCCCUCCAGAAGAUCAUUACAAGUAGUUGUGAACCACCAUGUGGUUGCUGGGAUGUGAACUCAGGAUCUUCGUAAGAGCAGUCAGUGCUCUUACCUGCUGAGCCAUCUUGCCAGCCCCUUUCUUAUGUUUUCUGACUAUAAAAAUCCUACAUGUUCAUUAUAGGGAUUCAAAUAAUGCUGAAAUGUAGAAGAUGCAAGCCUGUGGUUGCCUCACUCCCGAGAUGACCGUGGCUCAGUGAUGCUGUGUCUUUCCAGAGAGUUUUACAUGCAAGCAUAACAUCUGUCACCACGUGUUUCCAUUGGAAGACAUACUCUGACCUCAGCUGUCCCACCAAAGUCCAGCUGGUCUCCUCUCCCAUGACCUGAGUAGAUGCCCGCCUCUGUCGCAAUGUUAGAAUGACCUUUGAAAGGGAACAGCUUAGCUAUUCCUGAGCAAGCUUUAGCAUUAGUUGUUACUCUGCAGGUCUCAGUCUCUGGUGCAGAUGUGCCCGGAGAGAGAUCGCUUAAAACUGGCUUUUGGAGACAUUCAAAUGGAAACUUGGUCCCACUCUCUGAGAGGAUGCACUGGAAGAAUACAGUUGUCAGUUUGUGUGCUAGAUUGAACACCUGAAAUGCAAUGCCAUGAGACUUUCUGCACUAAAAUGUAUCCCAGUAUGUGC